rnacentral:rRNA from 1 species
GAAGUAGGGGAUAACACCUGGAAACAGAUGCUAAUACCGUAUAACAAAGAAAACCGCAUGGUUUUCUUUUAAAAGAUGGCUCUGCUAUCACUUCUGGAUGGACCCGCGGCGUAUUAGCUAGUUGGUGAGGUAAAGGCUCACCAAGGCAGUGAUACGUAGCCGACCUGAGAGGGUAAUCGGCCACAUUGGGACUGAGACACGGCCCAGACUCCUACGGGAGGCAGCAGUAGGGAAUCUUCCACAAUGGACGCAAGUCUGAUGGAGCAACGCCGCGUGAGUGAAGAAGGGUUUCGGCUCGUAAAGCUCUGUUGUUAAAGAAGAACGUGGGUAAGAGUAACUGUUUACCCAGUGACGGUAUUUAACCAGAAAGCCACGGCUAACUACGUGCCAGCAGCCGCGGUAAUACGUAGGUGGCAAGCGUUAUCCGGAUUUAUUGGGCGUAAAGCGAGCGCAGGCGGUCUUUUAAGUCUAAUGUGAAAGCCUUCGGCUCAACCGAAGAAGUGCAUUGGAAACUGGGAGACUUGAGUGCAGAAGAGGACAGUGGAACUCCAUGUGUAGCGGUGAAAUGCGUAGAUAUAUGGAAGAACACCAGUGGCGAAGGCGGCUGUCUGGUCUGCAACUGACGCUGAGGCUCGAAAGCAUGGGUAGCGAACAGGAUUAGAUACCCUGGUAGUCCAUGCCGUA